AGAUUGAACGCUGGCGGCAGGCCUAACACAUGCAAGUCGAGCGGCAGCACGGGUACUUGUACCUGGUGGCGAGCGGCGGACGGGUGAGUAAUGCCUAGGAAUCUGCCUGAUAGUGGGGGAUAACGCUCGGAAACGGACGCUAAUACCGCAUACGUCCUACGGGAGAAAGCAGGGGACCUUCGGGCCUUGCGCUAUCAGAUGAGCCUAGGUCGGAUUAGCUAGUUGGUGGGUAAUGGCUCACCGAAGGCGACGA
rnacentral:rRNA from 1 species